GACGAACGCUGGCGGCGUGCCUAACACAUGCAAGUCGAGCGAGUGAAUCUCCUUCGGGAGUGAAGCUAGCGGCGGACGGGUGAGUAACACGUGGGCAACCUGCCUCAUAGAGGGGAAUAGCCUUUCGAAAGGAAGAUUAAUACCGCAUAAGAUUGUAGCUUCUCAUGAAGUAGCAAUUAAAGGAGCAAUCCGCUAUGAGAUGGGCCCGCGGCGCAUUAGCUAGUUGGUGAGGUAACGGCUCACCAAGGCGACGAUGCGUAGCCGACCUGAGAGGGUGAUCGGCCACAUUGGGACUGAGACACGGCCCAGACUCCUACGGGAGGCAGCAGUGGGGAAUAUUGCACAAUGGGGGAAACCCUGAUGCAGCAACGCCGCGUGAGUGAUGACGGCCCUCGGGUUGUAAAGCUCUGUCUUCAGGGACGAUAAUGACGGUACCUGAGGAGGAAGCCACGGCUAACUACGUGCCAGCAGCCGCCGCCG
rnacentral:rRNA from 1 species